rnacentral:lncRNA from 1 species
CGUCACCAUCACUCCACCCAUCAAAAACUUUCAUUUCUUUCUCUCGUCCCUCUCUUUUAUCUCUCCAUCGGGGAACCAUCAUCGACCAGAUCUAGAAGUUCAAAAGGGCCUGGACUUUGAUGGCAGUAACAUCAUUGUAAAUGAAGCUCAAUCCCGUAGGCGUUGGAUUCCGUAACGAAUGUCUUGAGGGAGGUUAUGGAGGUAGAGGCGGCGGUGGAGACUAUGGCCAACGUGAGGGAGGUUUCUUUGCCAUAAACUCAUCUUUUCGCCCCCCCCAUGCCCACCGCCACACCACCGGUGAUGAUGGACACCGCUGCUAUCUGUGUGUGGAUGGGUGGUAGUGGUUGGUUUGAUUGGCCAAUUUAGAUGUUUCAAUUGAUUGAUCAGGAUGUUGGAUGUUUCUAUUGGCCGUGCGAAUCAACAUCGUUGAUCUUGGUUUCAAGUUGGUAGGUGGGUGGCUUUGUGGAUGGAGUGGCAUAGUGGAAAUGGUAACGUGUAAUUGGUUGACUA